GUUCGGGGUGGAAGCGUGGCGACAUGUGCAGCUGACGAAUACUAAUCGAUCGAGGACUUAACCAAAUU
rnacentral:rRNA from 1 species